rnacentral:lncRNA from 1 species
AAAGCUAUCUUUUAGUUCUCACAGUGCUACCACAAUCUCCGGACUAAGCGGUUCAAGCCCAACACCACCACCAACAACAAGAAGAUGCACAAGAUUAUAUUAUUGGAGUAGUUUGGAAUAAACAGAAGACACAAGAGUGAAACAACUGAGAGAAAACCAAGCACCAUCAUAGCCAUGCGGCACCAAUUAUACAUACGACUAG